UACAGAGGGUGCAAGCGUUUAAUCGGAAUUACUGGGCGUAAAGCGUGCGUAGACGGUUAUUUAAGUCAGGUGUGAAAGCCCCGGGCUCAACCUGGGAAUUGCAUUUGAGACUGAAUAGCUAGGGUGCGGAAGAGGGAAGCGGAAUUUCCGGUGUAGCGGUGAAAUGCGUAGAUAUCGGAAGGAACACCAGUGGCGAAAGCGGCUUCCUGGUCCAGCACCGACGUCAGGCACGAAAGCGUGGGGAGCAAACAGG
rnacentral:rRNA from 1 species